UGAGGCCGAAAGGGUCUCCCAGGCCUGGGAGUCUGCAGCUUUUAUGCAAUUCUGCCCUCUGGCCACCGCCAGGGAAGAAAGGUUGUCUCCGUCUGCUGCAUCGCCUUUGCCCAGCAAUGAAGCCCCCAAGACAGCGGCAGCCGGUUGCCUGAACCUUCCUAUCCUUGGGGGCACCCAGUGCAGGUGGAUGACCCGACUCAACCUCCGCCAGGGCACCCUCGGGGCAGGACGGGUAGCAAGGAGGGGACAG
rnacentral:lncRNA from 1 species